rnacentral:rRNA from 1 species
GCGAACGUUGCUCGGAAUCACUGGGCUUAAAGGGCUCGUAGGCGGUUAUGUAAGUUAGGUGUGAAAUCCCCGGGCUUAACCCGGGACGUGCACUUAAAACUGUGUAACUGGAGUACAGGAGAGGAUAGCGGAAUUCCCGGUGUAGAGGUGAAAUUCGUAGAUAUCGGGAAGAACACCAGAGGCGAAGGCGGCUAUCUGGACUGUAACUGACGCUGAUGAGCGAAAGCGUGGGUAGCGAACAGGAUUAGAUACCCUGGUAGUCCACGCUGUAAACGAUGAGUGCUAGACGUCGGGUGUAUUAACACAUUCGGUGUCGCAGUUAACGCGCUAAGCACUCCGCCUGGGGAGUACGGCCGCAAGGCUAAAACUCAAAGGAAUUGACGGGGGCCCGCACAAGCGGUGGAGCAUGUGGUUUAAUUCGAUGCAACGCGAAGAACCUUACCUGGGUUGGAACCCCCUGGAAUUCAUCAGAGAAGGUGAAGUGCCUUAUUUUAAGGAGCCGGGUGUUCAGGUGCUGCAUGGCUGUCGUCAGCUCGUGUCGUGAGAUGUUGGGUUAAGUCCCGCAACGAGCGCAACCCUUGUUGCUAGUUACUAACAGGUAAAGCUGAGGACUCUAGCGAGACUGCCGGUGGUAAACCGGAGGAAGGUGGGGAUGACGUCAAGUCCUCAUGGCCUUUAUGUCCAGGGCUACACACGUGCUACAAUGGCUGAUACAGAGGGCAGCGAUCCCGUGAGGGUUAGCAAAUCCUUUAAAGUCAGCCCUAGUUCGGAUUGCAGUCUGCAACUCGACUGCAUGAAGCUGGAAUCGCUAGUAAUCGCGGAUCAGCAUACCGCGGUGAUACGUUCCCGGGCCUUGUACACACCGCCCGUCACACCAUGGAAGUUGGGUGCUCCAGAAGUGGCUGUCCUAACCAAUUUGGAUGGAAGUCCCCAAGGAGUGUCUGAUGACUGG